CACACGUGUUACAAUGGGGGGUACGAGAGGGCCGCUACCACGCGAGUGGAUGCCAAUCCCCAAAACCUCUCUCAGUUCGGACUGGAGUCUGCAACCCGACUCCACGAAGCUGGAUUCGCUAGUAAUCGCGCAUCAGCCACGGCGCGGUGAAUACGUUCCCGGGCCUUGUACACACCGCCCGUCAAGCCAUGGGAGCCGGGGGUACCUGAAGUGCGUAACCGCGAGGAGCGCCCUAGGGUAAAACUGGUGACUGGGGCUAAGUCGUAACAAGGUACC
rnacentral:rRNA from 1 species